UACAGAGGUCUCAAGCGUUGUUCGGAUUCAUUGGGCGUAAAGGGUGCGUAGGUGGCGGGGCAAGUCAGGUGUGAAAUCUCGGGGCUCAACCCCGAAACUGCACUUGAUACUGCCUUGCUCGAGUACUGGAGAGGAGACUGGAAUUUACGGUGUAGCAGUGAAAUGCGUAGAUAUCGUAAGGAAGACCAGUGGCGAAGGCGAGUCUCUGGACAGUUCCUGACGCUGAGGCACGAAGGCCAGGGGAGCAAACGGG
rnacentral:rRNA from 1 species